AGCCUCCCAAUUCUUACCACAGGCUGUGUUCUUUACAUUGACUGUAUAGAAAGGGAGGUACAGUAAAUGCACCCCAUAUGUACCUCAACCCAGGCCCUUUGCCUGGUCUGUAUUGUGAAUUGGGGGACAAAA